UUCUUAAGAGAUGCUUCGGCUAAACUCGCGCAAUUAUUGCAAUUGUAAUGUUGCUCGAGUUCUAGAGAACCGAAGUUGUUCUAAGUGCACCUCUACUGAGGGUUCUAGGACUUCGACUCGGUCACUUUUACCCUGAUCGUGGAGGAAGCAGGAGUGGUCGAAGGACCGUUUUGGAAUCGUUUUUAGGAAAGCUCGCGGCUAGGUAGAGUUAGGAGUAGGGUAGUGGCGGAACCGUUUGAAACCCUGAUACUCCAGGUGGCGACCGGCAUCAUCCGUAGCAGAGCGACCACUCCAACCGACAACCCAGCGCUUCUGGACUCCAUCAAGGGGUCAAUGUUCCG